AUGGAAGGGGAGGAGCGGCGGCUGGCGGCGUCGCUCACGGCGCGGUACUCGGAGUGGGUGCUGGAGGAGCUGGACGAGCUGCGGGGGAGCUUCCUGCUCACGGACCCGGCCAUGCCGGGCCACCCCAUCGUCUACGCCUCCCGGGGCCUCGCGUCGCUCACGGGCUACCCGCGCCGCGAGCUGCUCGGCCGCAACGCGCGCCUCUUCCAGGGCGCCGCCACCGACCGCGCCGCCGUCUCCGGCGUCCGCGAGGCCGUGCGCACCCAGCGCGCCCACCAGGUCGCCAUCCUCAACUACCGCCGCGACGGCUCGCCCCACUGGGUGCUGCUCCACCUCGCGCCCGUCUUCCACGCCGCCGACGGCCGGGUGCUCCACUUCCUCGCCGUCCAGGUGCCCAUCGCCGCCGCGCCGCGCCGUCACCCGGGCCGGCCCGCGGCGUUCGCGGCGUGCCGGGAGGAGGCCAGGGGGGAAGAGGAGCUGCCUUGCGCCAGCCACGUAGGGGAGGUGUUUGUGGAUAUCGAUAAGAGAGGGCUGGAGGCUGAGGAACCACGUAUAGCUAGCGUCUGUGACAAAGAGAUGGCUCUAAGCACAGCAAACAAAAUCUUCUCUACGCUGAACCGCUAUAGCAAACUAACUGGUUUGGUGGUUUGUGAGAGGAGAUGUGAUUCUGUUGGUAUCCCAGCACUCAGCUCUUCGCUAAAUCUCUCUCUCGGUAGAAUCAAACAGAGCUUUGUAUUAACUGACCGCCAUUUGCCUGACAUGCCGAUAGUCUAUGCUAGUGAUGCCUUUCUAUCAUUAACAGGUUACUCAAGAGAAGAAAUAUUGGGCUGUAACUGCAGAUUUUUAAACGGUCCAGGUACUAGUGCGGAGGUUUUAGAGGAGAUAAAUCAACAUAUCUGUCUUGAGGAGGCUUGCACAGUGCAUUUGCUUAAUUACAGGAAAGAUGGAAGUACAUUCCGUGAUCUGCUACAUGUGUCUCCCAUCCGAAAUUCAUCGGGCAAGGUUGGCUUACAUCCUUUUCAGGUCGCGUUUCAUGUGUGGGUUCACCUUGACGAGAGCGCGAAGCAUGAUUUUAGUGGGUUGACCCCUGAGGUAUGGCAGCUCGGUGCUGUUGGUGCUGUAAGAGUUGCAGUUAGAAGCCUGUCUGCGUCAGGUAGCCUGUUGAGACCAUCCCAAUAG
rnacentral:rRNA from 1 species